ACGCUUUAACGCCAUUGGAUCAUCUAGACGCCCUUUCACGGCGGUAACAGGGGUUCGAUUCCCCUUGGGCGUACCA
rnacentral:tRNA from 1 species